UCACUAUCAUCAUAAACCUAUCUGUGAUUUUAAGAUCGCACAGAAAUUUUCUGUCUCCUCCAUAACAAUCCAGGUGAACUGGGUUAUGCUCCAACUACAAAUAUUCUUCAAAUCUCAAUGACUUACAACUGUGACUAACUCCACAUGCCUGCUGGAAGUCAAUGGGAGCUCUGCUGUCAGUUCUCACUCUGGAACCGGGGCUGAAGGAGAAGCCACUAUGUGGAAUAUUGCCAGGCCAUGGCAGAGAGAAAGCAAGAGCCAAACAAAUUUUGUUCUAGUUCUUAGUUCUUAAAGUCUCCUAGUUCUCAAAGUUUCCUCUAUUUCUUUGACUGAACUGGGUCACACAGCCAGCCACAUCCAACUUCAGAAGCAGGAUUCUAUGUGACUAUAAGAAGAAUUGCUCCCUGGCCAACCUGCACGUGACAUAUGGGAUCAAGACCUUCCAUGGCCUGCACUCUGCCUGCCUCUCCAGUCUCAUUUCGCACGCGCCCCUCAAUUCUCCUGGGAUCAGCCAUAUCGGGCAGCCAGUUCUUGUUACGCUCUUCAUAUAUUCAUAUCAUUGCAAAUGCUGUUCCUUCUGCCUGGAAUGCUCUUCCUUCAUUCCAAGGGAACUUGCCCUCAAGGCAAACCGCUUAUCAUUCUUCAAGACAGCUCAAGGAUCACCUCCUCUAUGUAUUUACUCUGAUACACUUGGUAGGAGUUAGCUAUAGUCCUCUAUUAUGCCCUAAUUGUUUGCUUGUCUAUUUUCAUUAUACUGUGGCCCUCAAUGGCAAAGAUCAUUUCUGUACCCCCAGUGCCUAGUACUACACCUUCCAUGAGCCAAAUAUGUGCUUGUGUGUUAGUUGCUCAGCUGUGUCUGACUCUGACUCCAUGGACUGUAGCCCGCCAGGCUUCUUCUCUGUCCAUGAGAUUUCCCAGGCAAGACUGGAUGGGGUAGCCAUUUCCUUCUCCA
ensembl:lncRNA